rnacentral:tRNA from 1 species
ACCUGACUGGCUCAGUUGGAAGAGCAUGUGACUCUUGAUCUCAGGGUUGUGAGUUCAAGCCUCACAUUGGGUG